rnacentral:rRNA from 1 species
UACGAAGGGGGCUAGCGUUGUUCGGAAUCACUGGGCGUAAAGCGCACGUAGGCGGAUUGUUAAGUCGGGGGUGAAAUCCUGAGGCUCAACCUCAGAACUGCCUUCGAUACUGGCAAUCUCGAGUCCGGAAGAGGUUGGUGGAACAGCUAGUGUAGAGGUGAAAUUCGUAGAUAUUAGCUAGAACACCAGUGGCGAAGGCGGCCAACUGGUCCGGAACUGACGCUGAGGUGCGAAAGCGUGGGGAGCAAACAGGG